GAGAGGACACAUUUAAUUGAGCCCGUCAAAUUAAGUGCCAGCCGACGCGGUUAAACUUAAGGGCUGGUCUUUAUAAGUAAAAAGGCGUAAAGGAUGUGUAGGCCAAGAAACGACCCAAGUAGGUAAAUGGAAUUUUUCUGGAGCGGUAGAAUGUGAGGAUAGAAUAUAGAACCCCUAAGGUAAAAACUAUUUACCACAAGGUAGGCUGAAACAUGAGAGUGUGGGGAGCAAACAGGAUUAGGACCCUGGUAGUCCACACUGUGAACUUUGAAGAUGAUGCUUAGCAGACCCGAAAGGUAAAAUCUUCCGCCUGAGUAGUACGAUCGCAAGAUUAAAAUUCAAAAACUUUGGCUGUUCACUAUUUAGAUUAGAGGAGCGUGUAGUUUAAUUCGAUGGUCCGCGUGUUACCUUACCCCAACUUGAACCUGUGACCGGUAUUGCAUGGCCGUCGUAAGUUCGUGUAUUAAGCUAAAAGGGACCCAACCCGGGCAUUUGCCCGGAGGAAGUCAGGUCUUAUGAUCCGAAUGUUGGGGGAUUUUAUGCGCUACAUUUUCUUAUAUAAUGAGAAACCUGAAAGGUGAGUCUAUAAAGUAAGAGUUCGGAAGGUCGCUGUAAGACGACUGGAAGUUGGAUUUAAUAGUAAUCGGAAAGUAGGGCGUUCCGG
rnacentral:rRNA from 1 species